GAUGAACGCUGGCGGCGUGCCUAAUACAUGCAAGUCGAGCGAACAGACGAGGAGCUUGCUCCUCUGACGUUAGCGGCGGACGGGUGAGUAACACGUGGAUAACCUACCUAUAAGACUGGGAUAACUUCGGGAAACCGGAGCUAAUACCGGAUAAUAUAUUGAACCGCAUGGUUCAAUAGUGAAAGACGGUUUUGCUGUCACUUAUAGAUGGAUCCGCGCCGCAUUAGCUAGUUGGUAAGGUAACGGCUUACCAAGGCAACGAUGCGUAGCCGACCUGAGAGGGUGAUCGGCCACACUGGAACUGAGACACGGUCCAGACUCCUACGGGAGGCAGCAGUAGGGAAUCUUCCGCAAAGGGCGAAAGCUUGACGGAGCAACGCCGCGUGAGUGAUGAAGGUCUUCGGAUCGUAAAACUCUGUUAUUAGGGAAGAACAAAUAUGUAAGUAACUAUGCACGUCUUGACGGUACCUAAUCAGAAAGCCACGGCUAACUACGUG
rnacentral:rRNA from 1 species